rfam:Chitinophagaceae bacterium IBVTCB2 contig000001, whole genome shotgun sequence.
UAAGGGAUUGCCGAAAACCUGAAAUAGAGUAGGCA